UACAGAGGUCCCGAGCGUUGUUCGGAUUCAUUGGGCGUAAAGGGCGCGUAGGCGGCGGGGUAAGUCUGAUGUGAAAUCCCGGGGCUCAACCCCGGAACUGCAUUGGAUACUGCCUUGCUUGAGUACUGGAGAGGGAACUGGAAUUUACGGUGUAGCAGUGAAAUGCGUAGAGAUCGUAAGGAAGGCCAGUGGCGAAGGCGAGUGCCUGGACAGUUACUGACGCUGAGGCACGAAGGCCAGGGGAGCAAACGGG
rnacentral:rRNA from 1 species